rnacentral:tRNA from 1 species
AGGGAUAUGUCUCAGCGGUAGAGCGCGGGUGCUUAGCAUGCACGAGGCUCUGGGUUCAAUCCCCAGUACCUCCA